rnacentral:lncRNA from 1 species
AGAUGAAGAUUUUCACAUUGUUUUCACUGCUGGAAUUCAACCAUUACACAUUCAGAAAUACCACUGAGCUAUUAGCUGUGAGACUGGGAUCCCUGAUCUAUGGGCUGCACAGUUGUGGGGAUAAUUUAGCCAGCUGAGGUCUCUGUCUGAGGAAAAAAGGAAAUCAGAGAUUUGGCAGGGGACCUGCGAGAUCCAGAAAAAGUGGGGGUUGGAAAUGCUCAAAGAAAUAAAUAUUCAGAUGUUUCCUAUCUCACUUCUCCCUGACAUAUAUAUUUUGCCGAAGCCUGCGUUGAACUAUGUUGUUUUGAAUAAGACUUUUGAAAUAUUUGAAAAGAAGAAAAUUUCAAGGAUAUUUCCAAAUGGGUACAAAGCCUUCUGGAGGAUUCCUUCGAUUUAAUUUCUCUAGCUUAAAGCCGAAUGGAGAGAACAAAGGCAGAGCUCACAGUCAUUAAUUAAGAGGAUGAAGGAAGGCAGAGGGGAUGCUGACAGGAGGUGACAGGCUCAUUGAAAAGAAAAAGUUACAUCCUGAGAAUGGGGAGAUAUUAUAGACAAUUCUUUGAGGCUUGCUGAAGUGCAAAACUAAUCCACAAGGGAGCAAUUCCCAUCGCGGAGCCUCAUUUCUUCAGGGAAUCACCAGGGACUUUGCAGUCACAGUGAAAAUGCAAAUUCUUCAAUUUCAUUUCUCCCUUGCUGUCUUUGCUGCCUCAUACCUGUGGCUGUGAUGAGUUUGGUGUCAACACCAACAGAAAUUCCUUGAAGGACCCAGUUCCUCCUUGGGAGACUGAAAACACCAGCACCCCAAGCAGGGGUACUGCGUCUCCAGCACUGCCUUGGAUGGGCUGGCAGAGACCCUGUGUGAUGUGGCUGCCCUGCAUCCUGGUGUGGGGGCUCCGUGGUCAGCACCACCAGGCACAGAGGUCCUGGUCCUCAUCACACAGGGGACAGGAGACAGGGCAAAUUUUACAAGCAGCUGAGCAAGGACCUGGAGAGCUCUGUGAAAGACACCUGCUUCUGAGUAUUCCCAGUCUGAGGAGGUAAAUGCAACAGGGAAAAUAGGGAAUGAGGUACUCUGAAAGGUCCUCAUAGAAGAAGUGAAGGCAGAUGGGAAGUGGCCUGGAAGGGGAAGCCAAAUUUGGUCAUCUAGUGCUUGCUAAGGAGCCAGAAUUCAACUUGUAU